rnacentral:rRNA from 1 species
AGUGAACGCUGGCGGUAGGCCUAACACAUGCAAGUCGAACGGCAGCACAGUAAGAGCUUGCUCUUACGGGUGGCGAGUGGCGGACGGGUGAGGAAUACAUCGGAAUCUACUUUUUCGUGGGGGAUAACGUAGGGAAACUUACGCUAAUACCGCAUACGACCUACGGGUGAAAGCAGGGGAUCUUCGGACCUUGCGCGAUUGAAUGAGACGAUGUCGGAUUAGCUAGUUGGCGGGGUAAAGGCCCACCAAGGCGACGAUCCGUAGCUGGUCUGAGAGGAUGAUCAGCCACACUGGAACUGAGACACGGUCCAGACUCCUACGGGAGGCAGCAGUGGGGAAUAUUGGACAAUGGGCGCAAGCCUGAUCCAGCCAUGCCGCGUGGGUGAAGAAGGUCUUCGGGUUGUAAAGCCCUUUUGUUGGGAAAGAAAAGCAGCAGGUUAAUACCCCGCUGUUUUGACGGUACCCAAAGAAUAAGCACCGGCUAACUUCGUG